ACAGUAAACCGCUCUAUCGCUCCUUGAAAUAUAGGGGAGGAAAGUCCGGGCAACUCAGGGCACCAUUCUUCCUAACAGGAAGAUAUUCGUGAGGGUAUAGUAGCGUAACAGAAAAUAACCGUCCCAAUUUAUUGGGAUAAGGGUGAAAAGGUGGGGUAAGAGCCCACCGGGUUCUGUAGCAAUACGGAAUGCCGUACGCCUAAUGGGUUGUAAGACCAUGUAUAUUACGAUUCUUUCUGCUUUGCAGAAGGAGCAGAGCUGCUCGCAUUGUUUUAGGGUAACCUAAAGUCGUAAGGGGUAGGUCGCUCGAGGUUAUAGGUGACUAUAAUCCUAGAUAAAUGAUAGAGGCCUUAAUUUAUUUAUCGCACAGAACCCGGCUUACAGGUUUACUGUUUUA
rnacentral:RNase_P_RNA from 1 species